rnacentral:sRNA from 1 species
GCCAGGUGUGGUGGUGCACACCUGUAAUCCCAGUGGCUUUGGAGGCUGAGAAGAAUUUCAAGUUCAAAGCAACUUUAAGGCGCUAAGCAACUUAGUGAGAUCUUGUCUC